GCAAGGGGUAAGUAGAGUGGCAAACGGGUGAGUAACACGUGGGUGACCUGCCUUCGAGUGGGGGAUAACGUCCCGAAAGGGACGCUAAUACCGCAUGACAUCCUGCUCUUGGACGAGCGGAGAUCAAAGCCGGGGAUCGCAAGACCUGGCGCUUGAAGAGGGGCCCGCGCCUGAUUAGCUAGUUGGUGAGGUAAUGGCUCACCAAGGCGACGAUCAGUAUCCGGCCUGAGAGGGCGGACGGACACACUGGGACUGAGACACGGCCCAGACUCCUACGGGAGGCAGCAGUGGGGAAUUGUUCGCAAUGGGCGCAAGCCUGACGACGCAACGCCGCGUGGAGGACGAAGAUCUUCGGGUCGUAAACUCCUGUCGAGCGGGAAGAAACCCGCGGAGGUGAAUAGCCUCUGUGGUUGACGGUACCGCUAAAGGAAGCCCCGGCUAACUCCGUGCCAGCAGCCGCGGUAAUACGGGGGGGGCAAGCGUUGUUCGGAAUUACUGGGCGUAAAGGGCUCGUAGGCGGCCAACUAAGUCGGAUGUGAAAUCCCCAGGCUCAACCUGGGAACUGCAUCCGAUACUGGAUGGCUUGAAUCCGGGAGAGGGAUGCGGAAUUCCAGGUGUAGCGGUGAAAUGCGUAGAUAUCUGGAGGAACACCGGUGGCGAAGGCGGCAUCCUGGACCGGCAUUGACGCUGAGGAGCGAAAGCCAGGGGAGCAAACGGGAUUAGAUACCCCGGUAGUCCUGGCCCUAAACGAUGAAUGCUUGGUGUGACGGGUAUCGAU
rnacentral:rRNA from 1 species